CCUACACCACGCUCUUCCGAUCUGUCCCCCACUAUCACAAAUUAUGCAGUCGAGUUUCCCACAUGUGGGGAAAUCGCAGGGGUCAGCACAUCCGCGGUACAAUGGAUGAGCCUCGCCCUGGGAAAACCACCUACUGGAUCAUGGUAUCU